rnacentral:rRNA from 1 species
UAGGGAAUCUUCCCAAUGGACGAAGUCUGAUGGAGCAACGCCGCGUGAGUGAAGAAGGUUUUCGGAUCGUAAAACUCUGUUGUUGGAGAAGAAUGUAUCUGAUAGUAACUGAUCAGGUAGUGACGGUAUCCAACCAGAAAGCCACGGCUAACUACGUG